AGGUCAGUCCUAAUAAUAACAAGGAAUGAACAUGAGAGUCUCUGCUCAUUUCCUGAGGCUGAUGAUACUUUUGCUUCCAAGUGGCAGAUGUGCCAUCCAGGUUACCCAGUCUCCAACCUCCCUGUCUGCAUCUCUGGGAGACAGAGUCACACUCACUUGCAGAGCAAGUCAGGAUAUUAACAACAAGAUGGCUUGGUACCAGCAGAAACCAGGGGAAGUCCCACAGCUCCUGAUCUAUUAUGCAUCCACUUUGCAAUCAGGAACUCCAUCCAGGUUUAGUGGCAGUGGGGCAGGGACAGAUUUUUCCUUUACCAUCAGUCACCUGCAGUCUGAAGAUUUUGCAACUUACUACUGUCUGCAAGGAUAUAGUUUGUACCACAGUGAUACACAUAAUGACAAAAACUGCUCAUAG